rnacentral:rRNA from 1 species
UACGUAGGGGGCAAGCGUUGUCCGGAUUUAUUGGGCGUAAAGAGCGUGUAGGCGGCCAAGCAGGUCAGCUGUGAAAACUCGAGGCUCAACCUCGAGACGUCGGUUGAAACCGCUUGGCUAGAGUCCGGAAGAGGAGAGUGGAAUUCCCGGUGUAGCGGUGAAAUUCGUAGAUAUCGGGAGGAACACCGGUGGCGAAGGCGGCGACCUGGGUAGAUACUGACGCUGAGGUGCGAAAGCGUGGGGAGCAAACAGG